rnacentral:rRNA from 1 species
UACGGAGGGGGCUAGCGUUGUUCGGAAUUAUUGGGCGUAAAGAGCGCGCAGGCGGCCUAUCAAGUCAGAUGUGAAAUAACCAGGCUUAACCUGGUGGGGUCAUUUGAAACUGGCAGGCUAGAGUACAGCAGAGGAUAGCGGAAUUCCCGGUGUAGUGGUGAAAUGCGUAGAUAUCGGGAGGAACACCAGUGGCGAAGGCGGCUAUCUGGGCUGCAACUGACGCUGAGGCGCGAAGGCUAGGGGAGCAAACAGG